rnacentral:rRNA from 1 species
AAUUGAUAGUCCACGAUUAAUUGUACUUAAAUUAAAAGUUUGUAUAUCGUCGUAGUUGAAUACCUUAUAAGAGUGAAAGUAUUCAAUAUUUAUAGUUUUAAAUUAAAUCAGAUCAAGAUAUAGCUUAUAUUUGAGAAGAGGUGGGUUACAAUAAAAUUAUUUUUGGUUAUAAUAAUUAAAAUUAUUAUUUAAAUUGGAUUUGAAAGUAAUAUAUUUUAUUUAAAAUAUAUGAUUUUAGCUCUGAAAUAUGCACAUAUCGCCCGUCGCUUCCAACGAAUUUUAAGUUGGAAUAAGUCGUAACAUAGUAGGUGUACCGGAAGGUGUACCUAGUUUGUCAAAUUAAAGCUUUAAGAGUAUUUUAUUUACAUUAAAAAGAUAAUUGUGAGAAUCAAUUUAAUUUGAAUUUAAAAAUUUAUUAUUUUUUAUAUUUAUUAAAAUUAAAAAAAAUAUUUUUAUAUUUAUUUAUUAAUUUAGAUAAAAUUAAUUAAAUUAUAGUUUAUUAGUAUAGUAGUAGAAUAUUGAAAAAUUUGAAAAUAUAUAUUUUUAAAAGAAAAAUUAAAAUUUUGUACCUUGUGUAUCAGGGUUUAUUAAAUAUUAAUUAUAAAUUUUAAUUUUCUCGAAUUUAAAAGAGUUAAGAAAUUAUAUAUUUUAUUGUGAAAUAAAUAUUUAAAAUAAUUUUUUAGUUAUGAAACGUUAUUCGUUUUUAAAUAUAUCUAGUUUUUUAAGAAAUAAAUUUAAUUUAGUUAAUUAUUUAAAUAAAAAUAAUUAUUUAUUUUUUAUUAAUAUAAUUAAUUAAUAUUUUAAGGGUUAAGCUUUAAAGUAAAAUUUUUAUAAAUAUAUAAAAUUUUUGAUAUAAAUUAAUAGGAUUAAAAUUUUUUAUUUUUAGUAGUAUGUUAUAAUAAGUUUAUAUUUUAAUUAAAUUUUUAUAUAAUUUUAAAUUUUAUAUUAAAAUAAUUUAUUAAAUAUUAAAAUAUAUGUGAUAAUGAUAGAAUUAGUAUAAUAAUUUUGUUUUUAUUAAUUUAGAUUUAGGUUAAAUUAAGGAACUCGGCAAAAUACUUUUUUGCCUGUUUAUUAAAAACAUGUCUUUUUGAUAAUAAUUUAAAGUCUAACCUGCCCUAUGAUUUUAUUAUUAAAUGGCCGCGGUAUUUUGACCGUGCAAAGGUAGCAUAAUCAUUAGUUUUUUAAUUAAGAACUGGUAUGAAUGGUUGGACAAGAAAAGUGCUGUCUCAAUUUAAUUUUUAUUAAAAUUUUAUUUUUAAGUUAAAAAGCUUAAAUUUAUUUAAAAGACGAGAAGACCCUAUAGAGUUUAAUAUUAUAUUUUUUAUUUAAAAAAAUAAGAAUUAAUAAUUUUA